rnacentral:ncRNA from 1 species
CAGAGUAGAGAUCUGCGCGUGAAGUGUUUUGCGGACGGGGAGUUGCCGCGAAAACGAAAGGCAUUGCCUGCGGUGCGGAUCCCGCAUCCCGCUGU